rnacentral:rRNA from 1 species
CAAUAGCGUAUAUUAAAGUUGUUGCGGUUAAAAAGCUCGUAGUUGGAGUUCUGCCAGGUGACACUCGUCCGCCCAAGUGGUGUGUACAGGGUGUGCAUCUGGCCCUUUCAAGGGGAACGUGUCUGCACUUCAUUGUGUGGUGCGAGAUCCUUGACUUUUACUUUGAGGAAAUAAGAGUGUUCCAAGCAGGCUCUCGUCGUGCAUAGCUCAGCAUGGAAUAAUAGCAUUGGACUUCGUUUCUACGCUGUUGGUUGCAAGAAGCGAGGUAAUGAUGAAGAGGGAUAGUUGGGGGCAUUCGUAUUUAACUGUCAGAGGUGAAAUUCUUGGAUUUGUUAAAGACGAACUACUGCGAAAGCAUCUGCCAUGGAUGUUUUCAUUGA